AAAUCUUAAAAACCAACGAUUCAUCAUCUGCUGGUUCAGUUACCACCUUCAACAUGUGGCAUAUCAAUCCUUACAUGCAAAUAUAGUAUAGCUAAGCACAGAGUGAUCACAAGCACUUCCACGCCAGCUGACUAGGAUGUAAUCUAGCUUGCCAUGUCUUGCUCAAAAUACAGGUUAAGCUCAAUGUGGCAAACACUGGGCUUAGAAUCACUACCACACCACAAAAUGAGAUGGUAGCUAACAUUCCCCUCCAAUGUCUAAUGUACACAACGUGUUUCAUAAUCAAUCUCGCAGACACCGGAUCUAAAAUACUACAUCCGUAUAACUCAUACCUCAGAAAGAGCACUUCAAGCAUGAAAUCUGGCAGCUCAACCCUGUCCCCCUCAUCAAAAUCACCUCAUACACUAUGGACCUCGUACAUUGGCACCGGCAGCAUCAUCUACAAAAUGUAUCAACCAUUCACUUGGUUAUCAGUUGAACAAUGACAUGUCUUUUCAAAUUGUCUUUGCAUAAAAUAAUUUUGUCUACUGAAGCUUGUAGCCGAGCACUUCAUAGCUCAUAAUCAUAUUCAUAAGUUCGUAGUCCAGGCUAUACGAGCUAUACAUCAGUGCCAGUUGUAAAACCCCGGAUCGCUAGUGUAAACUUUGAUUUGUACAAAAGACAGUAAGACAUUUCUUGGUCAAUCACCACAAACCGCAAGUCAAAGACGUGGUGCCACCUGAUCUGUCAACUAUCAAACAUCCGACCUUCCUUGUAAUGAUCAGCCGCGACACACGAAUCCACUGUCAACAGCCCGUUUGGUCCGAACUCCCUCACGAAGUCUUCUCCUGAUAGGACCACAAGAUUAUUAUUUUUUAGAUCAGAGCGCCACUAGGACCACAAGAUAUAGACCUAUAUGCUCGAACCACUUCUUGCGCGUGUCGAUGGUAGACACACAAGUUAACAAUUGCAAACGCUGUACUAACAACACUCAAACUUAACUUACUUGCUAAGUUCUCUGGAAGUGUAUGACAACAUCCUGUCAUAGAAAGUAGCAUGUCUCUUGUGUUUGGCUCUUCAUCCUUCAAACCAGCUUUUCCUCAGAACUUAUCACCCAUCUCACCCUUCACGAUGUCCUGACCAUGCCUAUCUGCAACCUUAGGUUACUCCUCAUCCAGCCUGACACCACGCACAAUCCCCUACCCACUUCAUCCUCAUGCUCAUGGAUGUCGGCAAAGAACUAUGUUAACUGAAUGCAAAGAUAACUCAAUUUUUAGAACAAAGCGAAAUGACAGAUGAUAACCUGAUUGUCUAGCAACAUCAUUGCGGUCAUAUUGCAUCAAGGCUUCAGGCACAUCGCAAGGUGUCCCAUCCCCUGCAAAUUCAAAAUGUUGCAGCAAAAUUUCAAUGAUCUCACAACACUCGGUCAGUCCAUCUGAAUGAUCUCACAACCUGUCACUGCAUUGUUGACACAACAACUCUUUUUCUGCCCCCUCGUACCCCUCCCAGAGCCAGCAUCAGCACCUGAUUUGCACAUAAUAUAUUUAAUAUCCCAGAGACGUAAGCGGGCCUCCAACACAUGGAAAUGACCUGGGUACAUUAUUAGUGCCAAUACCUCCACUAGUAUGAUUACUACCACGGGUUACUUGCCUCAAACUCUCUCCUGCUUCUCUAACUGUGGAUUAUCUCGCCAAAUUCAGUGAAAGCGAAUGAUUAUGACUCUCUCUAUGCUUAAUGUACUCCCUUUGUAAAGAAAUAAUAUAUUUCUUUACAGAGGAGUAUCAAACAUUGUCCUCUGCUUGUAAAAGUCUUUAUCAGAGCCAGACAUUCGCAAUGGCAAGACCUUCUGCUCUGAACACCAGCUUUACCCUACAAUAUGUUUUCAAUUCUUGAGAAUGCAGGAAAUAACAAGAACUGAGGACACGGCUAAAAUAUACCGGAGUAAUUGCCAACUGUACAAAGCAAAAUGUCUAAAUCAUACACCUUGCCAAGUGAGUCGAAAGUACUGCCAAGAACUGGAGCGGUCACACUAUCAGCUGGCUUUUCUAUAAAAACACCUGACAGCCUUCUCGAAGUCACUAAUGCGAGAUGGGCAGUGUCCUGCUGGGUGCGGCAGCACCAAUUCUCAGCCAGCAAACACAAACACACCUGUCAUGAAUUAUCUAAAUACUGUUGACACACGGCAAGCAUAGCAAUUCGCCAUCGCUGUAUGAUUCGCUCAUCCAUGUAAACCUAAAAUUCAAAAAUUCCACCAUUCUUGAUGGAAUCAGUGAGCUUUCUCCUCACCUUUUAUUUCAGCCGGGGCCUGGGGAUUCAUCUUCCCCGUGGAGAGCCUGGUGGUCGAAGGCAACUAGGCGAGUUAUCCCUUUUGUUCGCCACCACCGCAGCAGGCCCGAAGAUCCUGCCGUGGGAUGCUGCUGCGGCACCUCCACCUGAUUCGGCAGUCCCAUUUGCAGCAAAUCGCAUGGCACCAAACUUUCCCUACUUUCUGAAUAAUAUUGGAUCUGGCAUAUGAAAAACUCAACCUUCAACUACCAAGCAUCUAGCCUAAAAAUCGAUUCCAGACCGUCGGAUAGCUACGGAUCCACAUACCUGCCGAUUCCGAUCCGCAGUUCAGCUGCCCGGUCUCGUUGCCACUGCAGACGCUAAUGGCAGGAUUUUAUCCUUACAAACUUUGUUCUUACCUAUAGAACUACGUUUCUUUGCUAACCAUAAGAUCAAAUCCAGCACUAACCUACUCCAUCCAAGCGCUCGGGGAUUCAUCUUCCAGUUGACAGCUCCGAGGUCGGUGGCAAGUUGUCCCUCAUGUCAGCCGACGCUCCCUUGGCUGCCAAGAUCUGGGCGUCCACGCUGCCCAUCGGAGCCUCCUGCGCCGCCACCACCUGUUCCACCACCACCUGAUGCUCCACCACCGUAGCCACCACAGUCGGCUCCGCCGGUACUGGUGGCGGCACCAAACUCACUCCCACCACCUCUAGGAAAGUGGAUCUGAUCCAGGCCAAACCAAAUCUUUUCAAAGCACACAUCUGGUCGCUAAUAAACCGCAAGGACAGCGGGGGGAAGAAGUACCCGCGUAUAGGCUGCAUCAGAAACUCCAUGGGGUCGUCGCCGCCGCCAGCCUCGAGCUCUGAAGUGAGGUCAGGAAGGAACCAGAUCACCCGCACAAUUUCCGCCUGGGCCCAUCGAACGGAAAGCCAACUUCCUGGUCCACGGAUCAGACGAGAACGCCGAAACUGAUCCACGGCCCACCUCGUCAGCGACAAACGGACAUCGCACCGCGCGUUAAAAUAAGGCCAAGCACCAGCCCCUGUCCCACUAGUAUUCAACUACAGUGUCCAUUAUCUAGCACACCGCCAGCGGGCGUAUAAAGUAAUGGCGCAGUUCCAGAUGCUCUAUUCAACGCCCAAGAUAGCGAGCUCAUUUGAGCCCGCGUGCAGUUACUCCACGCUCAGGCUAGCUACAUUACUUGUGCGGUGCAUACCUACCGCGGGCCACCUCAGGUUGAGCAGAAAAGUCCAACACAUGCGCACUCGGGUGCUUGGCAUAUGCAGAGCCAGAGGACGCCGGGAUUGACGAUGACGAAUCAUGCAUACCCAGUCGUUGAAGAGGACUAUUCAGACUUAUCACCAACAGAAGUGUGCAGAGGCUAUUCUACUUUCUGGCUUGAUAUUCAGAAAGGGACUGUCUAGGUCUCAGUUGACUGAGACUUGGCGAAGUCUCAGUCGGCUGACGUCACCCCAGAUUAGGCCUGUUUAGCAUCCCUCCCAUGAUGGGCUUGUGGUGUGGGCUUUGCUUGUUUGUUUGUUUUUUGUUUUUGCUGUUUGCUUGGCCCGUUGUACCUAUAUCCCUGCCUACGGACGCAGCAAACACACAAUAGAAAAGCUAAACGACUGGAAAACUUUUGCUUCUCUCCCAGUUGUCUCUGAGAUAACUCCAUGGCAGAAAACUCCAACUUUGUCUCAGCGUGUUGUUUAAGUUUCUCUGAAGAAAAAAAAGUGAAGAAAGAAAACUGUAGUAUAUUAGAAGCAUGAGUUUCAGUAGUUGAUGACAAAAAAGAUAAUAAUUUUCAUGCUGGUGCUAAUUUUUGUAUGUCCAGCACACAUACUGUUCAGGACACGUACUGAACAUGUAGUACACUUGUUGUGGACAGAGAAAAGGUUGUACACUUGUUGUGGGCAGGGAAAAGGUUGAAAUUUUUUGUUGUUCUUGACACUUUCUGAAUAUGAUAAACUAAUGAACAUGGUUCUUGGCAUGAGACAAAAACAAGAAAAAUAUGUCAUGGAUUCAGAUUGCACAUACUGUCUUCUGCAUUUCGUGUAGCAGCCGGUGAAUACUUUGGCAUAGAGAUUUCCAAGCAGUCAUGCUCCAUCUCCACAUAAUUUGGUGACCCCAGUCCAAGUAAGAUAAAAUAUGCGAAAACAAAAAUUCCCUUAGAUUGUAAAUACAUAUGUUUGAGCUGUGUCACCAUCCCAGAAACUGACAUAAGCAUGAUUUUGUGUUUCCAUGGUAGCCGUACCUUGGUGUCCAGUAUGUGCAGCAACAACAGCCUGCGAUGAAUUUGGCAUUCCAACCAUCUCCAAGUGCAUUUGCACCACAUGUACGAGCUUUUCUUGAAAAAAAAUAUUUCUUGUGCCCUCUUUAAGUUCCCUGCUUCAUGAAUGACCUGCCGCUCUACUAUCAUGCCCUUGUAAUU
rnacentral:lncRNA from 1 species